UCUGGCCCUCGGGUCCGAGUUGUAAUUUGUAGAGGAUGCUUUUGGUGCGGUGCCUUCCGAGUUCCCUGGAACGGGACGCCAUAGAGGGUGAGAGCCCCGUCUGGUUGGACACCAAGCCUCUGUAAAGCUCCUUCGACGAGUCGAGUAGUUUGGGAAUGCUGCUCUAAAUGGGAGGUAUAUGUCUUCUAAAGCUAAAUACCGGCCAGAGACCGAUAGCGCACAAGUAGAGUGAUCGAAAGAUGAAAAGCACUUUGAAAAGAGGGUUAAAUAGUACGUGAAAUUGUUGAAAGGGAAGCGCUUAUGACCAGACUUGAGCCCGGUUAAUCAUCCAGCCUUCUGGCUGGUGCACUUGGCCGGCUCAGGCCAGCAUCAGUUCGGCGCGGGGGAUAAAGGUUUCGGGAAUGUGGCUCCUCCGGGAGUGUUAUAGCCCGUUGCGUAAUACCCUGCGCUGGACUGAGGUUCGCGCAUCUGCAAGGAUGCUGGCGUAAUGGUCAUCAGCGACCCGUCUUGAAACACGGACCAAGGAGUCGUCUUCGUAUGCGAGUGUUCGGGUGUCAAACCCCUACGCGUAAUGAAAGUGAACGCAGGUGAGAGCUUCGGCGCAUCAUCGACCGAUCCUGAUGUUCUCGGAUGGAUUUGAGUAAGAGCAUACGGGGCCGGACCCGAAAGAAGGUGAACUAUGCCUGUAUAGGGUGAAGCCAGAGGAAACUCUGGUGGAGGCUCGCAGCGGUUCUGACGUGCAAAUCGAUCGUCAAAUAU
rnacentral:rRNA from 1 species